CCUGGCUCAGAGCGAACGCUGGCGGCAGGCUUAACACAUGCAAGUCGAGCGGGCGUAGCAAUACGUCAGCGGCAGACGGGUGAGUAACGCGUGGGAACGUACCUUUUGGUUCGGAACAACACAGGGAAACUUGUGCUAAUACCGGAUAAGCCCUUACGGGGAAAGAUUUAUCGCCGAAAGAUCGGCCCGCGUCUGAUUAGCUAGUUGGUAGGGUAAUGGCCUACCAAGGCGACGAUCAGUAGCUGGUCUGAGAGGAUGAUCAGCCACACUGGGACUGAGACACGGCCCAGACUCCUACGGGAGGCAGCAGUGGGGAAUAUUGGACAAUGGGGGCAACCCUGAUCCAGCCAUGCCGCGUGAGUGAUGAAGGCCCUAGGGUUGUAAAGCUCUUUUGUGCGGGAAGAUAAUGACGGUACCGCAAGAAUAAGCCCCGGCUAACUUCGUGCCAGCAGCCGCGGUAAUACGAAGGGGGCUAGCGUUGCUCGGAAUCACUGGGCGUAAAGGGUGCGUAGGCGGGUCUUUAAGUCAGGGGUGAAAUCCUGGAGCUCAACUCCAGAACUGCCUUUGAUACUGAAGAUCUUGAGUUCGGGAGAGGUGAGUGGAACUGCGAGUGUAGAGGUGAAAUUCGUAGAUAUUCGCAAGAACACCAGUGGCGAAGGCGGCUCACUGGCCCGAUACUGACGCUGAGGCACGAAAGCGUGGGGAGCAAACAGGAUUAGAUACCCUGGUAGUCCACGCCGUAAACGAUGUCAACUAGUUGUUGGGUUCCUUGAGGACUUAGUAACGCAGCUAACGCAUUAAGUUGACCGCCUGGGGAGUACGGCCGCAAGGUUAAAACUCAAAUGAAUUGACGGGGGCCCGCACAAGCGGUGGAGCAUGUGGUUUAAUUCGAUGCAACGCGAAGAACCUUACCUGGUCUUGACAUCCACGGAAGUUUUCAGAGAUGAGAAUGUGCCUUCGGGAACCGUGAGACAGGUGCUGCAUGGCUGUCGUCAGCUCGUGUUGUGAAAUGUUGGGUUAAGUCCCGCAACGAGCGCAACCCUCGU
rnacentral:rRNA from 1 species